AUUGAACGCUGGCGGCAGGCUUAACACAUGCAAGUCGAGCGGGGUGAUGGUGCUUGCACUAUCACUUAGCGGCGGACGGGUGAGUAAUGCUUAGGAAUCUGCCUAUUAGUGGGGGACAACAUCUCGAAAGGGAUGCUAAUACCGCAUACGUCCUACGGGAGAAAGCAGGGGAUCACUUGUGACCUUGCGCUAAUAGAUGAGCCUAAGUCGGAUUAGCUAGUUGGUGGGGUAAAUGCCUACCAAGGCGACGAUCUGUAGCGGGUCUGAGAGGAUGGUCCGACAGAAUGGGACGGAGAGACGGCCCAGAUUCCUACGGGAGGCAGCAGUGGGGAAUAUUGGACAAUGGGGGGAACCCUGAUCCAGCCAUGCCGCGUGUGUGAAGAAGGCCUUAUGGUUGUAAAGCACUUUAAGCGAGGAGGAGGCUCUUUUGGUUAAUACCCAAGAUGAGUGGACGUUACUCGCAGAAUAAGCACCGGCUAACUCUGUGCCAGCAGCCGCCGUAA
rnacentral:rRNA from 1 species